rnacentral:tRNA from 1 species
GGGUCGUUAGCUCAGUUGGUAGAGCAGUUGACUUUUAAUCAAUUGGUCGCAGGUUCGAAUCCUGCACGACCCACCAUUA